UCUUUUUGUUUAUAAUUUAAAGUCUAACCUGCCCACUGAAAAAUUAAAUGGCCGCGGUAUUUUGACCGUGCUAAGGUAGCAUAAUCAUUAGUUUUUUAAUUGAAAGCUGGAAUGAAAGGUUGAAUGAAAAAAUUACUGUCUUAAAUUGAAUUUAUUAAAAUUUUAUUUUUAAGUUAAAAAGCUUAGAUUUGUUUAAAAGACGAGAAGACCCUAUAGAGUUUUAUAAAAAGUUUAUUUUAAAAUUUUAGAAAUUUAUUUUUAAAAGUGAAUUUUUUUAUUAGAUUGGGGUGAUUGAAAAAUUUAAUAAACUUUUUUUAUAUAAAAAUAUUGAUUAAUAAAUUUAUGAUCCUAUUAUUUAGAUUAUAAGAAAAAAUUACCUUAGGGAUAACAGCGUAAUUUUAUUAGAGAGUUCAAAU
rnacentral:rRNA from 1 species